AAGCGUGCGCAGGCGGUUUUGUAAGACUGUCGUGAAAUCCCCGGGCUCAACCUGGGAAUGGCGAUGGUGACUGCAAGGCUAGAGUUUGGCAGAGGGGGGUAGAAUUCCACGUGUAGCAGUGAAAUGCGUAGAUAUGUGGAGGAACACCGAUGGCGAAGGCAGCCCCCUGGGUCAAAACUGACGCUCAUGCACGAAAGCGUGGGGAGCAAACAGGAUUAGAUACCCUUAGU
rnacentral:rRNA from 1 species